UGGAUCAAAAUGAAGAAGAUACUUAAAAAAAAAAAUAUGUGUUUAUUCCCAUUGUUUGUUGGUGAACUCUAUUCCAUAUAAAAAUUCUUUUUUUUUCCACUUGGUGUGCCUUAAUUCAUUUAAUGUGUUUUUUUUAAUGAAAGGGGACACUGGAGCCUUCUUAUCCUUUGCAACUUUUGUGAAAAUAGGCAACCAAACAUUGAGAAGCCUUUCAUGUUACUAUUAGAUUCACUUCAUCAAGCAAAUCCAAAGAGGUUGGAGCCAGAUAUAAGAAGAUUUGUAUUGGACAUUUGUCGAACUGAGGCAAGAGAUGAGAAUAAAGCGGCUAUAUCCAAGAUUCCUCUUCUUAUUCCCAAUGUUCCGCAACAAAGAAAUGGUGUGGAUUGUGGCAUCUUUGUUCUCUACUACAUAUAUUUAUUUGUCCAAAAUGUCCCUACAAAUUUUGCUUUAGAUGGCUACCCAUAUUUUCUUAAGCGAGAUUGGUUUUGUCAAGAUGACAUAGAAAACUUUCGGACAGAAAUUCAAUUUUUUGGAUGAAAGGGCUAAAAAAAGCAAAAGUAAGCAGAUCGUACAUGAAAACACCCCAUAAUCAAGGAUCCAAAUCCUUUGUUGUUGUUCGUCAUGAACUUAUGAAGAAGGAUGAUGAAAGUGUAAUAGAUGAACAACAUGAGUGUAAUAGGAUUGAAUUGUAUAAAAGCACUCACUAUAAGAAAGGAAAAGGAUGGACAUCUUUAGAAGCAAAAACAAACUACGUGAGUUAAUUAUGAUAUCUAUAUAGAUUUUUAUUUAUAUUAUUGAAAGUUUAUGUAUACUUUUUUUUUGUGAAUUUAGUGUGCAAUGCAACAAAAGUUUAAGAAAGCUAUAGAUGAGAAUUAGGAUGUUGACGUUGACAAAAUUUGUGAUGAGGUUCUUGGCACUCGAUCUGGGUAUAUUAAAGGAUUAGGUUAUGGUCCAAAGCCAAAUGCUUCAAGAUGUGGACAUGCUAAGAUCAUCAAAGAUCUUGAAGAAGAAAAAAAUAUGUGGAAAAAGAAAUAUGAAGUUGAGGUUCUUGAAAAUAAAACCAAUCGAGCUCAAUUGACAAAGCAUGAAAAAAUGUUAAGGCAGAUAUUAGGAGCAAAAUAUGAUGAGCAUGAAGAAAAUAGUAAAAGGUAUUAUAUGAUUAUGUUUACCACAU